rnacentral:rRNA from 1 species
GACGAACGCUGGCGGCGUGCUUAACACAUGCAAGUCGAGCGGUAAGGCCCUUUCGGGGGUACACGAGCGGCGAACGGGUGAGUAACACGUGGGUGACCUGCCUUUAGCUCUGGGAUAAGCCUGGGAAACCGGGUCUAAUACCGGAUAUGACUCCGCGGCGCAUGUUGUGGGGUGGAAAGCCUUGUGCGGCUGGAGAUGGGCCCGCGGCCUAUCAGCUUGUUGGUGGGGUGAUGGCCUACCAAGGCGACGACGGGUAGCCGGCCUGAGAGGGCGACCGGCCACACUGGGACUGAGACACGGCCCAGACUCCUACGGGAGGCAGCAGUGGGGAAUCUUGCGCAAUGGGCGAAGCCUGACGCAGCGACGCCGCGUGAGGGAUGACGGCCUCGGUU